rnacentral:rRNA from 1 species
UCUGGUUGAUCCUGCCUGAACUGAUGUGUUUAUUUCAAAGAUUAAGCCAUGCAUGUAUAAGUUUAAUCGUUUAUCGAGAAACCGCGAACGGCUCAUUACAAUGGCCAUUAUUUACUUGAUCUUGAUUGUCUAAAUGGAUAACUGUGGAAAAGCUAGAGCUAAUACAUGCACUAAAGCUUUGUCCUUACGGAAAAGCGCAUUUAUUAGAACAAAACCACGCGGCUUCGGCUGCUUCUUGUUGACUCAGAAUAACUUAGCUGACCGCAUGGCCUUGUGCCGGCGGCGUGUCUUCAAGCGUCCACUUAUCAACUUGACGGGAGCAUAAUCGACUCCCGUGGUGGUGACGGAUAACGGAGGAUCAGGGUUCGACUCCGGAGAAGGGGCCUGAGAAAUGGCCACUACGUCUAAGGAUGGCAGCAGGCGCGCAAAUUACCCACUCUCGGCUCCAGGAGGUAGUGACGAGAAAUAACGAGACUGUUCUCUUUGAGGCCGGUCAUCGGAAUGGGUACAAUUUAAACCCUUUAACGAGUAUCAAGCAGAGGGCAAGUCUGGUGCCAGCAGCCGCGGUAAUUCCAGCUCUGCAAAUACAUAGAAUUAUUGCUGCGGUUAGAAAGCUCAUAGUUGGAUUCGUAUCGAUACCUUGGAACCCUUCGGGUGUCUCUAGGUGUUAUCGAUUUAUCGUAAUGUUCGGUUUUGAGUCCUUAACAGGAUUCUUAACAGGCAUUGCAAGUUUACUUUGAACAAAUCAGAGUGCUUCAAACAGGCGUUUUCGCUUGAAUGAUCGUGCAUGGAAUAAUAGAAAAUGAUUUCGGUUCAGUUUUAUUGGUUUUACGGACUGAGAUAAUGGUUAACAGAGACAAACGGGGGCAUUUGUAUGGUCCCGUGAGAGGUGAAAUUCUUGGACCGUGAAAUUCUUGGAUCAUUGCGAAGCAGAAUUCGCCAAGCGUUGGAUUGUUCACCCACCAAUAGGGAACGUGAGCUGGGUUUAGACCGUCGUGAGACAGGUUAGUUUUACCCUACUAAAUACUUGUUGCUAUGAUGGUAAUCCUGCUUAGUACGAGAGGAACCGCAGGUUCAGACAUUUGGUUCAUGUGCUUGGUCGAUAGGCCAAUGGCGCGAAGCUACCAUCUGAGGGAUUAUGACUGAACGCCUCUAAGUCAGAAUCCCGCCCAGUCAUGAUAGCAAUAUAUAUCGCUCUCCGGUGUCGGAAGGCAAAAUGUAUGCCAUUUUUUGUGGUAGUACAAGCCCCAGUAUCUGGCAUUUUCUUUCUACUAUAAUUGGUAGUUGGUUGCUAAAAGCUUAGCACUCCUCGUGCAUGUGUAACGUCGGGGCGCAAAAUCACUUGUAUACGACUUGAAUACUGGUCAGGGGGUUGUAAUCAGUAGAGCAGCUCUUCGCUGCGAUCUGUUGAGACUUAGCCCUUGAUCGGAUGAUUUGUCUUUUUUAUAUACUAUAGACCUGUUUAUCCAAGUGUCG